GUUCUUUCCAGAAAUCUCUAUCCAUAGGACAACCAAACUAAGGAUGCUGGGAUGAAAAAGGGCAGAGUCAGAGGAGCCAUCAGCAGAUGUAGAGCAAGCAGGACAUGCCAAAAAUGAGGAUGGACUCGAUCAAAGGUUGCAAGAGUCGUCCUGAGAUUUGAUUCAAUUUGCAAUCGACUGAGGAAGAAGUACAGCCUUUCAGUUUUUCCUGGCAUGCAAAUUCACUCUUGCUGUCGUGUGAAGGAUGGAGGGUCCACACCAGGUCUUCAGAACUGCAGAAUGAAAUUCAAGCAAAAACUGCCCACCCCUGCAUGUCUCCUGUGCCCAGGGUCAACCUUUCAGCUAUCCUGAAGUGUCCGAGCCUUGCCUCUUUCCUGGAAACUGAAACAGCAGAAAAAAAGCCGCUGGCACCUCUGAUGGACCCUGGGUCCUGUUGUGAAAGUUCACUCCUGCCCACUGCUGUGUACUCUGAAGCCCUGUCAUCU
rnacentral:lncRNA from 1 species